rnacentral:rRNA from 1 species
UACGUAGGGUGCGAGCGUUGUCCGGAAUUACUGGGCGUAAAGAGCUCGUAGGUGGUUUGUCGCGUCUGCCGUGAAAGUCCGGGGCUCAACUCCGGAUCUGCGGUGGGUACGGGCAGACUAGAGUGAUGUAGGGGAGACUGGAAUUCCUGGUGUAGCGGUGAAAUGCGCAGAUAUCAGGAGGAACACCGAUGGCGAAGGCAGGUCUCUGGGCAUUAACUGACGCUGAGGAGCGAAAGCAUGGGGAGCGAACAGG